AGAGUUUGAUCAUGGCUCAGGAUGAACGCUAGCUACAGGCUUAACACAUGCAAGUCGAGGGGUAGCAGGGUAGCAAUACCGCUGACGACCGGCGCACGGGUGAGUAACACGUAUCCAACCUUCCCAUAACUCAGGGAUAGCCUUUUCGAAAGAAAGAUUAAUACCUGAUAGUACUUUUUCAAGGCAUCUUGAGAAAGUUAAAGAUUUAUUGGUUAUGGAUGGGGAUGCGUUCCAUUAGAUAGUUGGUGAGGUAACGGCUCACCAAGUCUUCGAUGGAUAGGGGUUCUGAGAGGAAGGUCCCCAUAUUGGUACUGAGACACGGACCAAACUCCUACGGGAGGCAGCAGUGAGGAAUAUUGGUCAAUGGGCGAGAGCCUGAACCAGCCAAGUAGCGUGAAGGAUGAAGGUCCUAUGGAUUGUAAACUUCUUUUAUAGUAGAAUAAAGUGAUCCACGUGUGGAUUUUUGUAUGUAUACUAUGAAUAAGGAUCGGCUAACUCCGUGCCAGCAGCCGC
rnacentral:rRNA from 1 species